AUGUGCCAGAGAGGUCCAACUCCUCAAGGUUGGGCAAUGCACGCAAGAACAUGUGUUGCAAUUGAGCAAAACCCUUCAGAUAUAUCCUUCUCACCAUUGCUUCUUGAACUAAAGCAGUGCGAGACUUGGGACGUUAUUCCGCCUUUGGAAGUUGUAUGGGAUGUGUCCACUUCUUUGCUUCUUUGCUGGACCAUAACCAUCGAAGCUAAAACUCUCGAGCAGUGGAGGGGCUCCUUCGAGCUCAACAUGCCCCAAGCUCAAGCAUCUUCAAGCACCAUGUUGAUGAUAUUGCCGGCAAUGAUUUCAUAUGAAUGUUACCCGACAAGUCAAGGAGCUCCAGUUUCAUCAUAUCAACGGAAGGGCAGGUGUCCACUGUGA
rnacentral:rRNA from 1 species